GGGCGUUAAGUUGCAGGGUAUAGACCCGAAACCCGGUGAUCUAGCCAUGGGCAGGUUGAAGGUUGGGUAACACUAACUGGAGGACCGAACCGACUAAUGUUGAAAAAUUAGCGGAUGACCUGUGGCUGGGGGUGAAAGGCCAAUCAAACCGGGAGAUAGCUGGUUCUCCCCGAAAGCUAUUUAGGUAGCGCCUCGUGAACUCAUCUCCGGGGGUAGAGCACUGUUUCGGCUAGGGGGCCAUCCCGGCUUACCAACCCGAUGCAAACUGCGAAUACCGGAGAAUGUUAUCACGGGAGACACACGGCGGGUGCUAACGUCCGUCGUGAAGAGGGAAACAACCCAGACCGCCAGCUAAGGUCCCAAAGUCAUGGUUAAGUGGGAAACGAUGUGGGAAGGCCCAGACAGCCAGGAUGUUGGCUUAGAAGCAGCCAUCAUUUAAAGAAAGCGUAAUAGCUCACUGGUCGAGUCGGCCUGCGCGGAAGAUGUAACGGGGCUAAACCAUGCACCGAAGCUGCGGCAGCGACACUCAGGUGUUGUUGGGUAGGGGAGCGUUCUGUAAGCCUGUGAAGGUGUGUCGUGAGGCAUGCUGGAGGUAUCAGAAGUGCGAAUGCUGACAUAAGUAACGAUAAAGCGGGUGAAAAGCCCGCUCGCCGGAAGACCAAGGGUUCCUGUCCAACGUUAAUCGGGGCAGGGUGAGUCGACCCCUAAGGCGAGGCCGAAAGGCGUAGUCGAUGGGAAAC
rnacentral:rRNA from 1 species